rnacentral:rRNA from 1 species
GAUCCUGGCUUAGGAUGAACGCUAGCUACAGGCUUAACACAUGCAAGUCGAGGGGCAUCAUGAUCAAAGUUUGCUUUGAUUGAUGGCGACCGGCGCACGGGUGAGUAACGCGUAUCCAACCUUCCCCCCAGUAGGGCAUAGCCCGGCGAAAGUCGGAUUAAUACCCUAUGUUUUUCCAAUGAGGACAUCUGAGCUGGAACAAAGAUUUAUCGCUGGGGGAUGGGGAUGCGUCCGAUUAGGUUGUUGGCGGGGUAACGGCCCACCAAGCCCGCGAUCGGUAGGGUUCUGAGAGGAAGGUCCCCCACACUGGUACUGAGACACGGACCAGACUCCUACGGGAGGCAGCAGUGAGGAAUAUUGGUCAAUGGGCGUAAGCCUGAACCAGCCAAGUAGCGUGCAGGACGACGGCCCUAUGGGUUGUAAACUGCUUUUAUGCGGGGAUAAAGUGAGGUAUGUAUACCUUUUUGUAGGUACCGCAUGAAUAAGGACCGGCUAAUUCCGUGCCAGCAGCGGC